UUUCCUUCCACCACUAACCUACCGGAGUACUUAUGAAGUCUCUCGCAGAUUAACUUUUGAUACGCGUCCUCAGUCUCUGUGCUAGCACCGAUUCGUACAUGUGCGACGUAACACGUUCGUCGCCGAUUAUUAAAUUUGUAUUAGCGCCGGCGAAUUGCCCGUAAAGCGUAAUUUGACUGGUAACUCGAGGUGAAGGCAUUACGGGUAGAGAAUCACGGUAUAUGUAUAUAUAUACGUGGAACAAAGAGGAAUUCUGGUGUAAAGAAGAGGAAAAGAGAGAGAGAGAGAAGAGAGGAACACGGAGUGAGCUGCAUCGAGUUGGACGAAGAACGAAUCAACAUUUUUAGUUGCAUUUUGGGACAAUACUAAGAACACCUAGUAUCAAGGAUGCAUCUCUCAGCAUCGUUCUUCUUUAUCAUAGUAUGCGUUCUAUUUCGCUCGACAGUCGGCAUCACAGAAAUGGUUAACUAUGAUAGUGUCUAUUUUCCUGACCAAGCGGAUUACAUCAAGAUCGCUACAAAAUGCAAAGAUAACAUGAUAUUGUGGCCAGGAAACCGUCGAUGUUACAAGGAAGGCGAGCAAGGUCCCUGCAAUGUCGGUCGGGUACUGGUUUUCGAUCGUCGGUCAUGGAAACCAUAUUGCAAAGAUCUUGUAUUUUAAGGUAUAUCUUUAUACAGAAAGAAACGUAGCCAACUGGCGAUAUGUAAUUAUUAUAUACGCAGCUUGGUAUAGAUGACGGUAACGGCUGUAAAUUUCCUGAACAUGUAUCAUGGAAGAAAACGCCGUGUUCCGUUGAGACUCAAUUCUAUCUGACGCAGACAAAAGUAUUUGUUAAAGUAAAACGCUUAACUAUUUCCCCAAAUGCAAAUAUAAAUAUUAUAUUUGUUUACUGUCUAUUCGAUGCAAGCAGUUACAUUUUAUAAAAAUAAUAUUCUGCAAUAAUAAAGAAAACUAUAUCAAAUACCGUACUUGCGUUAUGGAAAUUUGUAUUUUUUCUAUAAACAAGAUUUGUAAUCUAUUAUAAAAAAAAAAUGUAAAAAAAAUUAAAUUUAAAAUUAGUUGCAUAAUUAAUACAAGGUAUUUGAAAUUUUAUUAAAGUAUGGGAACUUAUUUAAUGUAAUGGGAAUUUAUUUAAUGUAAUGUACAGGACAGUGUUGAUUUUGUAUCAAGCUUAUAGAGUAAACAUUUUGUCUGAAAUAAUCUUGUCUCUUUUAGUUAGUUGCAUUUAUUUAUUUAUAAUGCUCAUUCUGUAUGCGCAUGUAGUUUCUUAAAUAUUAUUUAAAUAUGUUCGUUAUCGCAUUUAGAAAAAUAAUACAUUUUGGUUGAUUGUGUGUGUAUAAAGAUGUGAUCUGUUAUAUUAAACAUUUAUAUCUUGUAUAUAACGUUGUAUAUAUUUUUGCUAUAGUAAAUCCUCGUUUUAAUAUUCUGAUUAUAUAUAUAUCUGAUCGAUCAAUUUUUACUGAAUGCGUUGCUAAAAAAUAUUCAUAAAUAUGUAUGUAUACAUUCAAAAUUGAUAGAAUAAUAUCUAUAUGUGAAAUAAUAUAAGAAAUAAUUUUGUAUGUAUAUAAUUUGUAUGUAUACAAGAAAUAAUUUUGUAUGACCUAUAAUUUCAUAAAUUUUACGUUUGUUUCGAUACUGUUAGCAUUACAAAUGACGGCUUCCUCAUCGAUUUGUACUUAAAUUAAAAAUAUUGUAAACGGUUUUGAUAAAAAAAUUGUUCCUAUUA